rnacentral:rRNA from 1 species
CCUACGGGAGGCAGCAGUGGGGAAUAUUGCACAAUGGGGGAAACCCUGAUGCCGUGACGCCGCGUGAGUGAAGAAGUAUUUCGGUAUGUAAAGCUCUAUCAGCAGGGAAGAAAAUGACGGUACCUUAUUAAGUAGCCUCCGCCAACUACGUGCCAGCAGCCGCGGUAAUACGGAGGGGGCAAGCGUUAUCCGGAUUUACUUGGUGUAAAGGGAGCGUAGACGGCGGCACAAGUCUGGUGUGAAAAGCCGGGGCUUAACCCCGGAACUGCAUUGAAAACUAUGCACCUUGAGUUCUGGAGAGGUAAGUGGAAUUCCUAGUGUAGCGGUGAAAUGCGUAGAUAUUAGGAGGAACACCAGUGGCGAAGGCGACUUACUGGACUGUAACUGACGUUGAGGCACGAAAGCGUGGGGAGCAAACAGGAUUAGAUACCCCAGUAGUC